rnacentral:rRNA from 1 species
AUACAACGGAGAGUUUGAUCCUGGCUCAGGAUGAACGCUAGCGGCAGGCCUAAUACAUGCAAGUCGAACGAGAUUAGAGACUUCGGUUUCUAUGAAAGUGGCGCACGGGUGCGUAACACGUAUGCAACCUACCUUCAAUUGGGGGAUAGCCUUCCGAAAGGGAGAUUAAUACCGCAUAAGAUAUCAGAAUGGCAUCAUUUAGAUAUUAAAACUUUGGUGAUUGAAGAUGGGCAUGCGUUGCAUUAGCUAGUUGGUAAGGUAACGGCUUACCAAGGCUACGAUGCAUAGGGGAUCUGAGAGGAUGGUCCCCCACACUGGUACUGAGAUACGGACCAGACUCCUACGGGAGGCAGCAGUAAGGAAUAUUGGUCAAUGGACGGAAGUCUGAACCAGCCAUGCCGCGUGCAGGAAGACGGCCCUAUGGGUUGUAAACUGCUUUUGUCGGGGAAUAAACCUAGAUACGUGUAUUUAGUUGAAGGUACCCGAAGAAUAAGGAUCGGCUAACUCCGUGCCAGCAGCCGCGGUAAUACGGAGGAUCCAAGCGUUAUCCGGAUUUAUUGGGUUUAAAGGGUGCGUAGGCGGUAAAUUAAGUCAGAGGUGAAAGCCUGCAGCUCAACUGUAGAACUGCCUUUGAUACUGGUUUACUUGAGUACAGAUGAAGUGGGCGGAAUGUGACAAGUAGCGGUGAAAUGCAUAGAUAUGUCACAGAACACCGAUUGCGAAGGCAGCUCACUAAAGUGUAACUGACGCUGAGGCACGAAAGCGUGGGGAUCAAACAGGAUUAGAUACCCUGGUAGUCCACGCCCUAAACGAUGAUUACUCGCUGUCGGCGAUAUACAGUCGGCGGCUAAGCGAAAGCGUUAAGUAAUCCACCUGGGGAGUACGGUCGCAAGAUUGAAACUCAAAGGAAUUGACGGGGGCCCGCACAAGCGGAGGAGCAUGUGGUUUAAUUCGAUGAUACGCGAGGAACCUUACCCGGGCUUGAAAGUUAGUGAAUGAUUUAGAAAUAGAUCAGUCAGCAAUGACACGAAACUAGGUGCUGCAUGGCUGUCGUCAGCUCGUGCCGUGAGGUGUUGGGUUAAGUCCCGCAACGAGCGCAACCCCUAUGAUUAGUUGCCAGCAUUAAGAUGGGGACUCUAAUCAGACUGCCUACGCAAGUAGAGAGGAAGGCGGGGACGACGUCAAGUCAUCAUGGCCCUUACGUCCGGGGCUACACACGUGCUACAAUGGAUGGUACAGAGGGCUGCGACCUAGUAAUAGGAAGCCAAUCUCAAAAAGCCAUUCACAGUUCGGAUUGAGGUCUGCAACUCGACCUCAUGAAGUUGGAUUCGCUAGUAAUCGCGUAUCAGCAAUGACGCGGUGAAUACGUUCCCGGGCCUUGUACACACCGCCCGUCAAGCCAUGAAAGCCGGGGGUGCCUAAAGACUGUAGCCGCAAGGAGCGGUUUAGGGCAAAACUGGUAAUUAGGGCUAAGUCGUAACAAGGUAGCCGUACCGGAAGGUGCGGCUGGAAUACCUCCUUUCU